UAAACAAAAGCAUAAAUCGAAAUUCAAUAACAUGAAACAUGUUCGUGAAAUGUAAAACUUGUCUUGAUUAAAACCUUAGACGUACAAAUUACUUCAAAAGUCUAUAGUCCUUUUGAGGUAAAUAACACAUUUGAUGCUAUUAUACUCACAAUCUAGUAUCAUAUCCAAAAAUAUAACAUCCUCUCUAUUCCAUUUUUUUUUUUUUUUUUUUAUGGGAACAUCCCCUCUAUUCUAAUGCAAAAGAAUGUAUGCAAAACAUUUCGUGACUCCAUAACUUGUGCUUUCCAUUCACAAUCGGGUUGUGCAAAUUUGAUCUUCUCUACUGACUUGCAAAUUCCACUUCAACUCUAGUCGAAGCAAGCAAUACAUACAUUGCCUAGUUGUGCUUUCCAUUCACAAUCUGGUUUCAUUGAGAAAAAGAUAAAUUCUGGCCGAACAAAAGAUGCACAAAUUACAACCUAAUAGCCCCCAAAACCCUGGCAAUGCCAGGCUGCUUUGAUAAGAUUUCCAAAUUCUAAAGCCAAAAAAUUUUCAAGCCUGUGCAUAAACUAGUUAUACCAAGCCUGUGUAGCAGUGUUAUUGAACAGAUAACUGAAAAUCGGGAAAAAUUUCAAAGACAUCAUUUUUAUAGAGUGAAGGCAGAAUUUCAUACUUAUAGAAGAAGCAAGAUCACUUAUUAAUUCUGGAAUCAUAACCACAAUAGGAGUUGUAUCAUCUUUACUAAUGUCCUAAUUUCUGUGAGUUGCUGCUCCAGACACUACCAAAUAAAAAGAUAUAUUGCAAAAUUUUCAUCAGGCCUACACCAAAUUUCAGCUAUAUUAUAGCAAUAUUUUCAUCAACAAAAUGUAUUUUGUAUCUUCUAUCUGCUUUAGCAACAAGAUCAUUCACCAGUAUGAUAUCAUUUUCUUUACCAUCAAAAUGCCUCGGCCAAUCCAGAGCAAAAGUCACACCAUCCGAUGCAUGAAACAACUGUCUGAUAACCCGAGACACAUUAGAUAGACAUAAUAAGUUACACUUUUCCAAAUAACAAUUUCUUUAUUGACAACAAACUCUACAAAACAAAGAUCAAUCUUGAUAUCUUUGAUCAUCAUUGAAAUUCAGAUUAAUGAUCAAAGAAAAAGAACUAUCCAAAUUUUAGCUUGAUUCAAGUCCUAGUGAAUAUAACAUUACUUUUUUCAGAAGGCAACUUCUUAUAGCAAUCAAAAUUUGAUCCAGCAGAAGCAGGCAGAGCAUAAAUUUAUCAAAGAAUAUUAUGUGUACAAUUGGGACUUGGGAGUUCAGUCUUUAGAACAGAUAAAAAACCAGCUCCUACAUAGCUAUACUUCAGCUUGAUUCACGCUCCAGUUAAUAGUGCAUAACUUUCAGAAGGCAACUUCUCAUAGAAACACAAAAUUGAUCCAACGAGCAGGCAGAGAAUAAAUUUAUCAAAAAAUAUUAUGCAAGUUCUUAUUUUGUACUUGAGAAAGUAUAUAUCCACGUACUUUAGUCUGGAAUUGAUUGAUUUUGACAUUUGUGCCCAAUCCUAUUUUUGAUGGUCAUGCAAGAGGUACAAAAACAAAGAUUACAAAGACAUUAACAAGGUUGUUUACUACAAUCUAACCCUAUCGACUUUCAACUCAAGAGGAAAAUUAUUAUUACAAUGCAAUGGUAAAACCAAAGUUCAAGUAGUGAAAAUCGCUGAACUAUUAUUUACACACUCAAGAUUUGUUUAAAGCCUCAGAUGACCACACAUUAUAAGAAAGAAUAUACUAUGCUUCUCGAGUUUGGAACAGGUAAAUCUAGUUCGAUUUACUUUGCAUUUAAUAGAACAUCAUUCACGAAGGCAACCUCUCCACUGAAGCAAGCAGAACAUACAUUUAUCAAAAAAAUGUUAUUCAAUUACCUAUUUCGUACUUAAGUAUAUAACUACAUACUCUUACCUAAGAAAAUGUUAUUCAAUUAAACUUGCUUAGCUCCUUUGAUUCCAAGAAUCUGAUUAAUGCUACUCUCAGCCGGUGCCUUAUCUGGUGCCCUUGCUCUUACUCCACACAAUUCCCAAACCCAAACUGUUGAAAGAAAGAGAAAUGGGCAGAUCAGCAAGCGUUGGAGCUCGAAGCGUGCUGGAAGAUGAGCGUAUUGAGUAGACAGUGUGGAGUAGAGAAGCUAUAGCCAAAGCUUUGGGGGCAGAUUUUGCAAUUUGAAAUAAUAUCUUGAUAAUCCGACGGAAGAAACCGCUCCCACAUUGUAUAAGAUUUAGCAGCAGAUUUGAAUCCCGGUUCCAGAAAAAUCGCCAUUCGCGAUCCCCAAUUGACCUAGAUUGAUCUCUUUCAAAAUUCCAACGCUGUCACGUCAAUCCAUGGUGGCGGACCACAUGGGUCAACAUCGUCUGCUUCUGUUGCACCUUACCCAGCAAUGGACCCAAACCAAUUUCAACCAGAACAGGUGGUGAGAAUGGGUAUGAGAGAGAGGAUAUGCGAGAGCGGGAUAUGCGGUGGUGAAGAGAAACAGAAAUGAGAGUGUUUCCCGUGUCUCGUAAAAAUGCCGGGUUUUGCCAAAAGAACACCCAAAACGUUCAAAAAUGAGAAGGAGAAUGCGUUUUCACUAUUUUGGAAAAUCGAAAACAGAAAACGGUUUGAAAACGGUAAGAAGACAGCUCCUUAGUUUUUCAUCACAUGAAUAUUGUCAUUUUAUUUCUUAGUCUUGUAACAUUACUACUGCAGAGAUCCAUAGUAAUUUUUUGGACCCAAAUGGAUUCAGAACAAAUAGAGUUUGCAACAAGAGCAGGAUAUUGUAUUGGAAGCCCACCGGGAAUGAUUGGAAGAUGAGUAGCGAAAAUCGACCCAUUGGAUUGAAAAGAAAUUAGCAUACUAUCGGGUCUUAGGACUGACUGGGUGAUGUAUUUGUUAAGGGAAGAACUUGAAACAAUAUAUUCAAAUAUAGAACGGCGCAACAUAUUUACAUUAACUUCAUGAAAGAUUCGAAAGUCCUGAAAACAUUUCUGCGACUUGAUCGGGAUUAUUGCAAAGUUGGGGUUUGGAUCCUCAUUUCAUUGUGCCAAUUUUGGUGCCAAAAUAGUCUUUUACUUCUUAUUUUAUUUAUUUCACUGCUAAAGAAUCAAUUUUUUCAUCAAUGAAAUUAUUAUUAAGGAACAAAUGAUUGUUGAUGGCACUAAAUCACAGGUUUAACCUAUGUUGCUCAGACUCUCCAAAAAUGGAGAAGUGUGACAUGACACGAAUACCGACACGGGAUAUGGAUCGGAUCCUUGAUUUUGCAAUCGGACACGGCUGCAAAAUGGAGAAGACGGCGAAAGGUGGAGUCUUUCUUCUAGCUGCACUUAAUUUCGUCUAUGGAGAUAUAGUAAUCUGGCCUUGCGUCUAUCUAUUUGAUGCUUCUGGAUUUCUGCUUCUAGCCUUGGAAGAAAGAAAACAAUUGGGGAAAGAAGACAUGAAGAAGACGAAGGGUUGCCUGAAGUGGGCUUGGACCGAAAUAUUUUACAAAGG
rnacentral:lncRNA from 1 species